GAUGAAGAACGCAGCGAAAUGCGAUAAGUAGUGUGAAUUGCAGAAUUCAGUGAAUCAUCGAAUCUUUGAACGCACAUUGCGCCCUUUGGUAUUCCUUAGGGCAUGCCUGUUCGAGCGUCAUUUAAACCUUCAAGCUAAGCUUGGUGUUGGGUGACUGUCCGCCUCACGGCGGACUCGCCUCAAAAUUAUUGGCGGCCGGUACAUUGGCUUCGAGCGCAGCAGAAACGCGAACUCGGGCCCGUCGUAUUGGCUCCCAGAAGCUAUCUUCACAAUUUUGACCUCGGAUCAGGUAGGGAUACCCGCUGAACUUAAGCAUAUCAAUAGCGGAGGA
rnacentral:misc_RNA from 1 species